rnacentral:misc_RNA from 1 species
UUGUGGAGGAGGACGCCGAAGGUGGGGCUAAUGACUGGGGUGAAGUCGUAACAAGGUAGCCGUACCGGAAGGUGCGGCUGGAUCACCUCCUAACAGGGAGACAACAAAAUGUUUAAUAUUAUUAUUUUGUCACCUUAGGUCGAUCGGUAUCUCACGUUUUUAAUUUAUUAAGAAUUUCAUUUCCUAAGUUUUUCUAGGUCACACCUAUUAUUUUUCCUGGGCCAUUAGCUCAGGUGGUUAGAGCGCACCCCUGAUAAGGGUGAGGUCCCUGGUUCAAGUCCAGGAUGGCCCAUAUCUCUAUGUUGGGGGUAUAGCUCAGUUGGUAGAGCGCCUGCUUUGCAAGCAGGAUGUCAGCGGUUCGAGUCCGCUUACCUCCACUGAUCACCACCUCUUCCAUAAUCGGUAGAAAGGAAAUUUUUUGAGUUGUGAUCAAAUUCUGAAAGAAUCUAGCUUCCUAAUGAAAUCAUUAAGAUGCUGGACUCAUUGAAUUAAUUUCAUUGUUUUCAGAGAACCUUGACAACUGCAUAGAUUAUUUUUAAAGACAAUAAGCAUCUUUAAUGAUGCAGAUUUAUUAUUUGUGCAAAUGCAUUAAUAACAAUUCUAUUAAGCUGAUGCUUCAAUAUUUGAAGUUAUUGGUCAAGCUACAA